rnacentral:rRNA from 1 species
UGGCGCGUGCCCUUAUACAUGCCAAGUAGCACGCUGAAGGAGGAGCUUGCUCUUGGAUGAGUUGCGCACGGGUGAGUACGCGUAGGUCAUGCCUGGUAGCGGGGGAUUACUAUUGGAAACGAUAGCUAAUACCGCAUAAGAGUAGAUGUUGCAUGACAUUUACUUAAAAGGUGCAAUUGCAUCACUACCAGAUGGACCUGCGUUGUAUUAGCUAGUUGGUGGGGUAACGGCUCACCAAGGCGACGAUACAUAGCCGACCUGAGAGGGUGAUCGGCCACACUGGGACUGAGACACGGCCCAGACUCCUACGGGAGGCAGCAGUAGGGAAUCUUCGGCAAUGGACGGAAGUCUGACCGAGCAACGCCGCGUGAGUGAAGAAGGUUUUCGGAUCGUAAAGCUCUGUUGUAAGAGAAGAACGAGGCUUGAGAGUGGAAAGUUCACAC